rnacentral:lncRNA from 1 species
CUUUUUCCCUUCGCUAUGAGACUGGCAAGGUUCCAGAUAGCAACUGUUCUAGCAGCCAGGGUCCUGGAGAGAAGUCAACAUGAAGCAGAGCCACAGAUACGCCACAGAUAAGCUUAUGUAAUGAAGAGCUUCUCGCUUGUUGCCCAGGCUGGAGUGCAAUGGUGCGAUCUCAGCUUACUAAAUCUUCCGCCUGACAUGUUCAAGCAAUUCUCCUGCCUCAGCCUCCCAAGUAGCUGGAAUUACAGGUGCCCACCACCAUGUCCAGCUAAUUUUUUUUUUUUUUUUUUUUUUGUAUUUUUAGUAGAGACGGGUUUUCACCAUGUUGGCCAGCCCGGUCUUGAACUCCGUCAGCCUCCCAAAGUGCUAGGAUUAACAGGCGUGAGCCGGCACGCCCGGCCUCCCCGCUGAAUCCUUUCUUCAUUUUAUCAUAAUCCUUCUAAAUACACUUUCGGGAACUUUAAAAGAUGCCUACCACCAUUUGUCUCUCAUGAAGAUGUGAACUGCGACUGGAAACAGCUCAGUCUCUCACAGAUUGUAAAACUCAGAAGUAUAAUAUCCUUGGCACUAAGGGAAAGCACAAUGACACAGAAGGAAAUAUAGAAGUCCCCAAAUUAGGAAUCUUGGAUUUUAGACCCAGUGUUCCCUUAACUGCUUAAAGUGUGACCUCAAGCCAUAUACUGACAUCAACACUUAGGAAGAAAUAGGACUGCAAUGAGGACAAAACCUGUUACAGGGAAAGGAAAUGAUAGAGGCCUGGAAAACAAAGCAAAUAACAAGAGUCAGAUGUUGAAGGAAUAGAGGGAAAUAUACUAAGAGGAAAAAAUAAGAGGCGUACACAUGGCCAGGAGUAAUUUGAGUUACCAGAGGAAGCAUGGACCUGUAACUGACAGAGUGAGGAUUGUGCUCCAGAAGUAAAACAUAGUUUCAAAGCAACAGACAGGGAUUCAUAAGGGGCAGAAAAACAGCUCUCCAAAGAUGUCUACAUGAAAAUCCUGACUCUGCGAAUGUAUUACUUUACACAGCAAAAGGAAUUUGGCAGCUGUGAUUUAAUCGAAGAUCAUGAGAUGGAAAGAUUAUUAUCUGUGUGCAUCUAACAUAAUCACAAAGGUCCUUUUAAUGUGAAAGAGGAAGACAGGAGAGUCAGAGGGUCAGAGAAGAUGUGAAUACAGAAGCAGAGGUCACAACGACGUGAGAAAGGCACAUCUGGCUUUGAAGAUAGAGGGGCGAUGUGCCGAGGAAUGCAGGAAGCCUAAAAAGCUGAAAUAAGCAAGAAGUGGAUUCUUUCCUGCUGCUGCCAGAAGGGACAUACCCCUGCAGACACCUUGAUUUUUGCCCCAUAAUACUCUUUUUAGAUUUCUGACUCAUAGAAAUAUAAGAUAAUAAAUUUGCUUUGUUGUAAGCCACUAAGUUAGUGGUAAACGGUAAGUUUGUAAAGCAAUAAGAAAUGAACAGACAUUUAAGAAUAUUAUUUUAAGUCUAUGCUUAGACUUUUCCCAAGAAUAUUUAUGCAAUGGGAUUAUAUUCUAGUUUUAUAACUGAGUUAAUUUAUAUAGCAAUAUAUCAUAAAUGUCUCUUCAAAUUAAUACAUGCACAUCUAUGGUAAUAACUAUGAAUUACUAUGUAGUAUAUUUUAUGUAUAUAUUAUAGUUAUUAAUCAAUCUGAAAUUGUGAGGCCUUUAGUUUUCUUCUUAUAUUUUUGCUAAUAUAUAGAGUGUUUGGGAAAAUAUUUUUAUAUAUGAAACUGUGUCAAUCUAUGGUUUUUUUACUUGUAUUUUCAAAUCUAAUAUUAUUAUUUAGUAUAACAUAAAUUAUUUUGAUGGGAAACUCAUAUUUUCAAUGUUUUAGGUAUAUAACUAGUUUGCCUUCCAAAAAAGGCAAAUUAAUUGCACCAAUUAUUAAUUAGCCCCAUCAGUUUAUAAGAUAGGUGGGAGAAGGGUCUGCCAUUUUUAGUUAUAAUCUAAAACCCCCAAAAAACAGAACAGUAGUUUUUUUCUGAAAAUCAGAUUUCUCACAGAAUGAAAUAAAUUAAAAACUCAUACUUGUUAUAUUCCCUUAAAACAAUAGAAGAAUGAUGUAGAUGGAGUAUAUGUCCUUAUCAUGCAACUCAGAUUAUAUACCUAAAAAUAUGCAACUCAUAGUUAUUUGAAAAAUUAAUAUAGAAACCUAGAUUGAAACCUUUAAAAAGUUGCCAAAAAUCACCAUUUAAAAUUAGUUGAUUUAUUAAAAUUUUGAACAGGAAGUUUAUUCAAUGUAUUUAAGACAAAAAUUAAUGUUGGUAGAUAUUACAUAAAACCUAGAAAUCUAUUUCCCCAUAUUAAAAACGAAUAAUGAAGUAAGAAAAGAGAGAGAGAAAUGACGGGAAAAAAUGAAUACACAAUAGAUAGUUCAAAUGAUUAAAUGGUAAGUGAAAAGGAUUUAAAAAAUAAAAAACAGUGAGGAAAAAUAUUAUCUCCAAUGGCUGUGUCUCAUAGCUUAUUAGUCUCUUAUCAAAUGCACUGUUUUAAAGAAAAUUAUUGCAGUAAUGCUAAUUUCUUUAUAUAUUUUGGACAUGAAAACCUGUAUUAGGAGGCAACAAAAUAAUUUGCACAGUAGUAUGAAUACUGUAUUUGAUAAACAAUAAUUUUUUAAGAUGGGUUUGUAGAGUACCACGGACUAUAUUUCAGAUUUCAAAAGUAGAAGAUAUGAGCAAUUUCUUCUAAUAAAUGUUUACAAAAUGAUCAGGUAAAUAAAUCACCUUUUACAAAUCUAUCAAAUUAAAAAAUUGAAAUCUGGAGAAGUUAGGAGGCUUGCCAAAUAGUUCAAAGAAAGUAUUUUUAUGAGACUCCAACACUAUUGACUUUCAGCUUAACACUUGUUUAUAUCAUGCACAAUAUCAAAUAUAGAGUAUAAGAAGGGAAUAUAAUACAGAAAGUAAUAUAAUCAUUUCAAAAAAAGUGAAGCUGAAUUUUUAAAAAAUAUAAUUCUCCUAUAAUUUUUUAGGUACUUGAAAAUUAUAUUGGCCUAUUUUAUUUAUUUUGUUAGAUAGUGAUGGUGCAAAUACUGGUCUUUAGAAACAGAACAAUGCUCCAAAAUUACCCUAUGCUGCAUAUUGCCAAUAAUAUAACUGUAAGAUAUGUAUUUAGUCUUAAACUAUCUUAUUUAUCACCAAAUACCUACAGCUAACAGCUGAAGGGAACGAUACAAUUCUGAAUAAGCAUGUAUAAAGAAUGCUUAGGGCUUAAGCACAAACUAAAUAAAGUUUAUCGCUUUUGUCUUCUUUUCUCAUCGCUUUAAAGGAUGCUUGUUGCAAUUCUAAAACAGAAUAGUGAUGGAACCAAGGUCCCCAUUUUCUUUCCGGCUGUCAGGUGAGGGCCACUCACAACUUCUUGAGGCUGCCACGUUCCUUGUUUCAUGGUCUCCCUCCUUCCUCCACUUUUAAAGCUAAAGACGUGAGACUGGUCAUAUUGAAGGUCUUUGGCCCUCCGUUCUCCAUCUGUUCUCACAUCUCUGACCACAAUCAGUAAUAAUUAUCCACUUUAGGGCCUCAUGUGAUUAUAUUUGGUCCACUUGGAUAAUCCAGGAUAAUCUCCUCAUCCCAACAUUCUUAGCUUUAUCACAUCUGCAAAGUCCCUUUUGCCCUGAAUUACAACAUAUUCACAAAUUCCAGAGAUAGGGUUGUGGGCAUCUUUGGUGGGUGCAAUUAUUCUGCCCACCAUACUAUAAGAUUGUUUAAGGUAGUGGAAAUAAAUCUUUCUUAAAAGUCCAGAAAGCAUAUAAAAUGACUUACUGGUAAUUACGCAGAGUUAAAUAUUUUAACUAUCUGUUAAAAUGAUAAAUGUUAUGACUUAGAAUAAAAACGUACUCCCAUUAUAACCUUUGUUAUCAAAAUACCUGCAAUAGUAAGAUCUUCCAGUUUAAAAAAUAAUAGUCAUUUUUGAUAAAUGGGUAUGACCGAUGUGCAGAAUUUUCUUUUUAAGUAAAGCUUUUAUAGUUAACAUAUAAUAUAAAUUUCAAGGUGAGGAGAUGGGGCAAGAUGGCAGAAUAGAAGGCUCUACCGAUUGUCCCCUCUACAAGGACACCAAUUUAAAAACUAUUUACACCAUAAAAGCACCUUCAUAAGAACCAGAAUUCAGGUGAGCACCCACAGUACCUGGUUUUUAAUUCAUAUAGCUGAAAGAGGCACUGAAGAGAUGUAAAAAACUGUCUUGAAUCGCAGAUGCCACCCCACUCCCGUUUUCCAGCAAUGGCGGCAUGGUGCUGAGAGCAUUUCCGUAACUUAGGGAGAGGAAGAACUCAGCAAUUGUGAGAAAUUUGAGAAAUUGAACUCAGCGCUGCCGUGUUAAAGCAGAAAGAAAAUGCUGACCAAACACUGCUGAUGCUCCUCCAUGGAGGGAGCAUUUAAAUCAGCCCUAGCCAGAGGGGAAUUGUCAAUCCCAGCAGUCAGACCUUAAUUUCCUGCAAGCAUCACCACCACAGGAGAAAGGCUCUGGGGUCUUAAAUAAACUUGAAAGGCAGUUUAGGCCACAAGGACUGAAACUCCUAGGUGAAUCCUAGUGCAGAAAGGGACCUAGAGCCAGAGGACUAGGAGUGCACAAGACUGACUGAGACACCAGCCUGGCUGGCUAAGGGAGUAUUGGCCUCACCCCUACCCCAAACCCAGGCUUCACAGCUUGUGGCUCCAAAACAAACCCCUUUCUUCUGCUUGAGGAGAGGAAAGGAGAGAGCAGGGAGGACUUUGUUUUGCAUCCUGGAUACCAGCUAAGCCACAGCAGGAUAAGGUAUUGGUCAGAGUCAUGAGGCCCACUUUCCAGGGCCUAGCUCCCGAAUGACAUUUCUAGGCAAACUCUUGGACAGAAGGGCACCUGAUGUCUUGAAGGGAAGGAACCAGUUCUAGCAGGAUUUAUCACCUGAUGACUGAAGAGACCUUGGGUCCUGAAAAAACAUCAGCAAUAGCUAGGUACUACAUCAAGGGCCUUGGGUGAGACACUGAGACUUGCCGACUUCAGGUAAGACCCAGCCCAUCCCCAGCUGUGUUGGCUACAGGGAGAGACUUCUGCUUGAGUAAAGCAAAGGGAAAAGUAAAGGAGACUUUGUCUUAUACCUUAGGUAACAACUCAGCCACAUGGUCAUAGAGCACCAAGUGGGUUCUUGGGGUCUUUCAUUCCAGGCCUUGGAUCUUAGACAGUAUUAUUGGACCUGCCCUGGGCCAGAGAGGAGCACACUGUGAUGGUUAAUACUGUCAACUUGAUUGGAUUGAAGGAUGCAAAAUAUUGAUCCUGGGUGUGUCAAAGGAGAUUAACAUUUGAGUCAGUGGGAUGUAAAAGGCAGACCCACUCUCAAUCUGGGUGGGCACAAUCUAAUUAGCUGCCAGUGUGUCCAGGAUAUAAAGCAGGCAGAAAACAAUAAAAGGCUAUACUGGCUUAGCCUCCUAGCCUACAUCUUUCUUCCGUGCUGGAUGCUUCCUGCCCUCAAACAUCAGGCUCCAAGUUCUUCAGCUUUGGGACUUGGCUUGGCUUCCUUGCUUCUCAGCUUGCAGAUGGCCUAUUGUGGGACCUUGUGAUCUUGUGAGUUAAUAUUCCCUAAAAAACUCCCCUUAUAAAUAUAUUAUUGGUUCUUCCCUCUAGACAACGCUGACUAAUACACACUCUGUCCUCAAGGGUGAGUCCAAGGCCAGGCGGCAUUCACCACAGGCUAAUUGAAGAGCUCUUGGGCCUUAAGGGAACAACAGUGGUAGACUGACAAUUACUCCCCAUGGGCCUGUGGUGGUGAUGGCCCAGAGUGAGACUCCUCUGCCUUUGGAAUUGGAAGGAAGAGGAGGAACAACAUCUUGUGGUUUGAGUGCCAGUUCAGCUGUUGUGCAAUAGAAUACCAGGUAGACCUCUAAGGUUUUUCACUCUGGUUCCUGGCUCCCAGAUCAUACCUCUCGCUCUGCCUAGGGCCCGGUGGAUCUCACCAACCUGUAGGGAAGGACACAAGCCUGGCUGCCUUGGUCACCUGUUGAUUGUAGGGCUGCAGGGCCCUGAGUGAACAUAGGCAGUAGCCAGGGAGUGGUUACAACAGGUCAUAGGUGAGAUGUAGUGCUAUGAUGGCUUCAGAUCUGACACAGCACAGUCAUAGUGAUGGUGGACACAGGGAAGCUUCUGUCACUCCACUCCCAGCUCCAUGUGGCUCAGAACAGAGAGACUCCAGUUGUUUGGGAGAAAGUAAAAGAAGAGAAGAAGAGUCUCUGCCUGGUGAUCCAGAGAAUUCUUCUGGUUAUUGUCCAAGACCAUCAAGGCGGUACCUCAAUGAGUCUGUAAGAACCACAGUGUUACUGGGCUUCAGGUGCCCCAUAAAGCAGAUACAACUUAGAUCACAACACCCACUUCCUUUUGAAUAUCUGGUAAACCUUUCCAAGAAGGAUGUGCACAGAGAAGCCCAGACUGCUAAAACUAAAAUAAAUAUCUAACUCUUCAAUGCCCAGACACAGAUGAACAUUGAAAAGUACCAAGACAAUCCAACAAAACAUGACCUCACCAAAUGAACUAAAUAAAACACCAAGGACCAAUCCUGGAGAGACAAAGAUACAUGACCUUUCAGACAGAAAAUUAAAAUAGCUGUGUUGAGGAAACUCAGUGAAAUUCAAAAUAACACGGAAAAGGAAUGUAUAAUUCCAUCAGAUAAAUUUAGCAGAGAUUGAAAUAAUGAAAAAGAAUCAAGCAGAAAUUCUGGAGCUGAAAAAUGCAAUUGGCUCAUGAAAGAAAGUAUCAGAGUCUUAAUAGCAGAGUUGAUGAAGCAGAAGAAAGAUUAAUGAGUUUGAAGACAGGAUGUUUGAAAAUCCAGAGGAGACAAAAAAAAAAAGAAUAAAAACCAAUAAGUCAUGCCUACGAGAUCCAGAAAGCAGCCUCAAAAGGACAAAUAUAAGAGUUAUUUGCCUUAAAAAGAUAUAGAGAAAGAGAUGAGAGUAGAAAGUUUAUUCAAAGGGAUAAUAAUGAAUAACUUCCCAAACUAGAGAAACACAUCCAUAUCCAAGUAAGGGAAGGUUAUAGAACACCAAGCAAAUCUAAUCCAAAGAAGACUGCUUCAAGGCCUUUAAUGAUCAAACUCCCAAAGGUCAAGGAUAAAACAAGAAUCCUAAAAACAACAAGAGAAAAAAAACAAAUAGCAUACAAUGUAGCUCCAAUAUGUCUGGCAGCAGACUUUUCAGUGGAAACUUUACAGGCCAGGAGAGAGUGGCAUGACAUAUUGAAGAUGGUGAUGAAGAAAGAAAACAAAACAAAAACUUUUACCCUACAUUAUUGUAUAUGGUGAAAAUAUUCUUCAGACAUGAAGGAGAAAUAAGCACUUUUCCAGAUAAAGAAAAGCCAAGUGAUUUCACCAACCCAGACCUGUCCUAUGAGAUAUGCUAAAGGGACUAUUGCAACCAAAAAGAAAAGGAUGUUAAUGAGCAAUAAGAAACCUUCUGAAGGACAAAACUCACUGAAGUAAGUAUAUAGAAAAACACGGAAUAUUAUAACAAUGUAACUGUAAUACUAUAACACUGUGGUGUGCAAACUAAUCUUAAGAAGAAGUACUAAAUGAUGAACCAAUUAAAAUGAUUACAACAACUUUUCAAAACAUAGACAGUACAAUAAGAUAUAAUUAGAAACAACAAAAAGUUAAAAAGUGGAGAGAUGAAGUUAAGGCAUAGAGUCUUUAUUAGUUUUCUUUUUGCUUAUUGGUUUAUUUAGACAAACAUUUUUAAGUUGUUAUCAACUUAAAAUAAUGUGCUAUAAAAUAGUAUUUACAACCCCAAUGGUAACCUAAAACCAAGAAUUAUACAAUAGAUACACAAAAAAUAAAAAGCAAGAAACAAAAUCACAUCACCAGAGAAAAUUACCUUCACUAAAAGGAAAACAGGAAGGAAAGAAAAAAGAAAAUAAUACCGGCCAGAUGUGGUGGCUCACAUCUGUAAUCCCAGCACUUUGGGAGGCCGUGGUGGGCUCAUCACCUGAGGUUGGGAGUUUGAGACCAACCUGACCAACAUGGUGGAACCUCAUCUCUACUAAAAAAUACAAAAAUUAGCUUGGCAUGGUGGCACAUGCCUGUAAUCCUAGCUACUCAGGAGGCUGAGGCAGGAGAAUCACUUGAACUUGGGAGGCAGAGGUUACGGUGAGGCAAGAUCAUGCCAUUGCACUCCAGCCUGGGCAACAAGAGUGAAACUCUCUCUCUCUCAAAAAAAAAAAAAGAUAAUACCAAUUAAAAGAAAGGUAAGACCACAAAACAGCCAGAAAACAAAUAACACAAUGGUAAGAGUAAGUCCUUACUAAUCAAUAAUUACAUUGAAUCAUUGAAUGUAAAUUGACUAAACUCUCCACUCAAAAGACAUAGAGUGUCUGAAUGGAUAAAGAAACAAGAUCCAUUGAUCUGUUGCCUACAGAAAACACAUUUCACCUAUAAAGGCACACAUAGAUUGAAAAUAAAGGGAGGACAAAAGAUAUUUCAUGCCAAUGGGAACUAAGAAAGAGCAGGAGUAGCUAUAAUUAUAUAAGACAAAAUGGAUUUCAAGACAAAAACUAUAAGAAGAGACAAAGAAGGUCACUCUAUAAAUGGGUCAAUUCAGGAAAGGAAUAUAACAAUUUUAAAUAUAUAUGCACCCAACACUAGAGUACCCAUAUAUAUAAAGCAAAUAUUAUUAGAGCUAAUGAGAGAUAUAGGCCCCAAAACAAUAAUAGCUGGAGAAUUCAGCAUUCCAUUUUCAGCAUUGGAAAGAUCUUCCAUAAAUAAUAUCAACAAAAAAUUAUUGGACUUAAUCUGCAUUAUAGACCAAUUAUAUGCCAGUAAAUUGAAAAAUCUAGAAGACAUAGACAAAUUCCUGGAGAUGCACAACCUACCAGGUUUGAACCCAUGAAGAAAUGCAAAACCUGAACAAACUAAUAACAAGUAGUAAAACUGAAGCUAGAAUAAAAACUCUUCAAGGAAAGAAAAAUCCAGGACUCGAUAGCUGCACAGCUGAAUUCUACCAAAUAUGUGAAGAACAAAUACCAAUCCUACUCAAACUAUUCUGAAAAAUAGAGGAGAAGCGAAUACUUCCAAACUCAAAUCUAUGAGACCAGUAUUACCCUGAUACCAAAACCAAAGACAUAUCAAAAAAACAAAAAAAACUAAAGGCCAAUAUCUAUGAUGAAUAUUGAUUCAAAAAUCCUCAAGAAAAUACUAGCCAACCAAAUUCAACAAUAAAUUUAAAAGGUUAUUUAUUAUGACCAUGUGGGAUUUAUCCCUGGGAUGCAAGCAUGAUUCAAACAUGGACACAUGAAAUCACAUCAAGUUAAAAAGCUUCUGCACAGCAAAGGAAGCAAUCAACAAAGUGAGGAGACCACACACAGAAUGGGAGAAAAUAUUUGCAAACUAUCCAUCUGAAAAGAGAUUAAUAACCAGAAUAUACAAGGAGCUCAAACAACUCUAUAUGAAAAAAGAUCUAAUAAUCUGACUUAAAAAUGGGCAAAAUAUUUGAAUAUACAUUACUCUGAAAAGAUAUACAAAUGGCAAAUAGGCAUAUGAAAAGAUGCUGAACAUCAUUGAUCAUCAGAGAAAUGCAGAUCAAAACUACAAUGAGAUAUCCAUCUCACUCAAGUUAAAGAGGCUUUUAUCCAAAUAUUAGGCAAUAACAAAUGCUGGUGAGGAUGUAGAGAAAAAGAAACCCUCAUACACUGUUGGUGGGAAUGUAACUAGUACAACGAGUAUGGAGAACAGUUCAGAGGUUCCGCAAAAACUAAACAUUGAGCUGCCAUAUGAUCCAGCAAUCCCACUACUGGGUAUAUGCCCAGAAGAAAGAAAAUCAGUAUAUUGAAGAGAUAUCUGCAUUCCCAUGUUUGUUGCUGUGGCAUUAUUCACAAGAUCCAAGAUUUGGAAGCAACCUGUGUCCAUCAACAGAUGAAUGGAUAAAAAAAUGUGGUACAUAUACACAAUGGAAUAUUAUUCAACCAUAAAAAGAAUGAGAUCCUGUCAUUUGCAACAACACAGAUGGAACUGGAGUUCAUUAUGUUAAGUGAAGUAAGUCAGGCACAGGAAGACAAACAUCAUAUGUUGUCACUUAUUUGUGGGAUCUAAAAAUCAAAACGAUGGAGCUCAUGAACAUAGAGAGUAGAAGGAAGGUUGACAGAGGCUGGGAAGUGUAGUGCAGGGCAGGGGAGGGUUGAGGAUGGUUAAUAGGUACAAUAAAAAUCAUAGUUAUAAAGAGUGAAUAAGACUUACUAUAUGAUAGCACAACAGGGUGACUAUAGUUAACAAUUUAAUUGUACAUUUUAAAAUAACUAAAACAGUAUAACUGGAUUGUUUAUAACACAAAGGAUAAAUGAGGGAAUGGAUAACCCAUUUAUUGUGAUGUGAUUAUUAUGUAUUGCAUGCCUGUAUAAAAACAUCUCAUGUGUCCUAUAAAUAUAUACACCUAGUAAGCACCCACAACAAUUAAAAAUUAAAAAAAUAAAAAUGUAAAUAAUAAUAAUAUAAGGUGCAUGAAGGGCAAUGACUUUCAUUUUCUUUUUUAUCAAACUAGCUCCAGAACUCAGAACAGUGCCCAAAAGACAGUACAUGCUAAAACUAUGUGUGCAAGAAAUGAGGGAAUUAAUAAGUGGAGUGUAACUAAUGGCAAUUUAAUAAGGAUUAUUCAAAUUUGAUAUUAAAAAUAAAGUUAAAGUUAGUAAGAUAACUAAGUCUACUAGCAAAACGGGCUUGUACACAAUUGUAAAGUUUGUACUACACAUGUUCACACAGAUGGGCCUUUAUUUAAGUUUUGCCGUCAUUCAUUGUUGCCUCAAUAUUAUUUUUGUUGGUCCCCCAAAAGUAAUGUAUUUUGAAGUCCUGCUACCUUUGCUAUUUAAUUACAAAUCAGAGUAAGUACAGUGUAACUCUUAUCUGUUUACUUUAAUGCAGUCUUUUGUUUGUUUUUGUUUGUUUACAGUACAUAGUAACAAAUACAUCUAUAAUCUUUAGCUAGUGGUUUUCCAUAUCCUAGUCUUUAAGAUAAACAUGCAUUGUAAUUCAAUAUGAAUCAUUAAUAUCCUUAUUUAUAAAGCUAUUAUAGUCAUAAUUUUUCAAAAAUUGUUGGUAUAAUGUUUUAGUUUUCAUGUUGAAUUUCAUUUCCUAAUGAAAAAAUAGAACACAUAGGGAAAAUAAUUAUUUAGUCCUUCUUAAGUGAGUUCUGGUAAAUAAAAUUGAGUUCUGGUUCUAUGCCUAGUAUUAAAUGUUACAUUUUAAGAACAAUGCUAAAACAUGUUAAAUAAGGCCUUGGUUGAAUUUUGCAG